CCUACGGGAGGCAGCAGUGGGGAAUAUUGCACAAUGGGGGGAACCCUGAUGCAGCGACGCCGCGUGAGUGAAGAAGUAUUUCGGUAUGUAAAGCUCUAUCAGCAGGAACGAGACAAGACGGUACCUGACUAAGAAGCCCCGGCUAACUACGUGCCAGCAGCCGCGGUAAUACGUAGGGGGCAAGCGUUAUCCGGAAUCACUGGGUGUAAAGGGAGCGUAGACGGCUGAGCAAGCCUGAAGUGAAAGGCGGGGGCCCAACCCCCGGACUGCUUUGGGAACUGUACGGCUGGAGUGCAGGAGAGGUAAGUGGAAUUCCUAGUGUAGCGGUGAAAUGCGUAGAUAUUAGGAGGAACACCAGUGGCGAAGGCGGCUUACUGGACUGUAACUGACGUUGAGGCUCGAAAGCGUGGGGAGCAAACAGGAUUAGAUACCCCGGUAG
rnacentral:rRNA from 1 species